rnacentral:lncRNA from 1 species
GUAGUAUUACAAGAGAGAACAACGUACAAUUUGCGAGGGUACAAUAUAUAUAUAUGAUCGAUAGACGACCGAUCACACGUACUCUCAUCAGAAAAUUAAAAGGUUUAAAAAGAAAAGGACAUGCAUAUACUACACAUGCAUGCACAAGCAGAUUAUGUGUAAUAACCUAACCCAUGCAUGCAUGCAGAUUAUGCAGAGCAACAACGAACGACGACAUACACACAUAUAUAGUAUGAGCGAUCAAAUUAGAGCAAAUCAUAAUGCUCAUGCAUUUUAAUAAAAUUAAGCGGGGCAGGUGAAGUCCGCGGGGCAGAUCUUGCCGCAGUGGUUGAGGAGGAGGGUCAGGUCGACGGGCACGUUGAGGUUGAUGCCCAGGAUGUUGGCCUUGAUGGCGGUGCAGAGGCAGACGGCGGCGUCUAGGUCCACCAGGCCUUCCAGCAGCGGACAGCACUGGUCGUUCUUCGGGGGGAUGCUGAGCUUCAGUAGGUUCAGCACGUUGGCACACACCUCCAGCUUCAGCGCGUUCAUCGGGCACGACCCGCCGCCACCGCCAGAAGGCGGCGAUGGUGGCGGCACCACCGGCGGAGUAGGACAGUACGGCGUGCAGCCAUGCACCAGGGCCAGGACAGUGGAGAGGAUGGUCAGGGCCAGGAACAGGGAAAUAAGCUUGGAUGCCAUUGCUACCGAUCAGAGAGCUAGCUAGUAGCUAUAGCUCUUCAAUCAAAGGGAUUAAGUGUUUCUUUUGAUCGAGCUAGGUGUGUGUUUGGGAUGGCUCUCUUCGGUGGUAUUUAUAGACCAAUUGAGCGAGCAAGUGUGUGGGCGUGCGUGUGAACAUGUGUGUAGUUUGAUAAGGGAGCAAGUGUACGUGUUUUGGAUGCAUGUGAUGUGUGAUGCGAACCCUACAUACGUGUCUACCUGGCUCCUUGCAUUUUUUCUGCAAAUUGCAUGCACGAUUAAUUCAUUAAUUAUAUAUAUGUACAGCUUUUAGCUAGCUGGAGACGACUGGAACAACAAGGAAUUGUUGCCUUAGCUUGUGUCCACUUUUCUUUUUUACAAUGAAAAAGGGCCAAAGUGCCUAAUGGCUAGAAAAAAAGGGAAUGUUGACAAAAGAAAACAUAGUGGGAGAGAUAAAAUAAGGAUAUCAAAGGGUGGAAGCCAAUGAGAGAUGAAUCAAAGAAAGCAAGUUGCCACUAAACAAAAGAAGCAAAUGAAAGUAUAGAGUGAACUAGAUCGAGGACUGCGCUCCUCCUCCCCCCGCUGACGGCCUCCCUGGCCAUCGCCGGUCUUCAACUCCGCUGUUGGUGGGCUCCUUAGCUUGUUCCCUGCUCCCGUUUCGCUCCAUGGCGGGGCUCCUCGCUUGGGGCGCAUCAUGGAGUCGAUUGCUCCCCUAAGGGGGAUGUGACUAGCUCUGGUUGCUCUGUUCACCAGACAUGUGAUCCUUGUUAUUGUGGUCUUCCUGUCGCUUACAAGGUGUGUUCUUGACUCUGCCCCUCGAAUGGAGUUCCCUAGCCUUUCUUUUGAUCCUAGUUUAAAGCUUCAAGAUGAAAUUUGGUAUAAACUUGGGGUUCAUGUCAUUCAUUAUGUGCUGGAUCACGCCUCCUUUCACCUUGUGGUCGCUUUUGGUCGUUGCAAGUUACAUCUUUUCGAAUAAUCUAUUAGGUCCUUGCUGCCGGUCGCCAUUGGUAGCAUCGCUAAGCAGUUCUGUGUGUCCCAACUUGGAGAUCGUACUUUCAAAUUUGUUGUCUCUACCAAAUUGGUUGGCUUCUUUAUCGCCAACCUUUGUUCCUUGACUCGUUCAAGGUCUUCUUCCUCUAGGCUAAUGGAGGUCCCAAUUGGUGCUUUGAGUACAAUCGUUUCUUACUCAAAGAAGCUAGUUUUUUAUCUUCUUCCUCCUCUAAAUCAGGGCGUAGAUCUUUUGUUGAUGUCGUUAAGUCAACAAUUCUCUUUGGUGCUAAUUAAUAUCGUUCCCAUGGGCUCUCACUGUCAUCCUGUCGUCCCUGCUUCUAGUGCCAACACCAUUCCCUUGGGCCUGCAUCAUCGCUCCUCCAUCUCGACAACAAGGCAAUCGGUGCAUGAUCGCCUUAUCUUCCAGAGGGUUGCCGCCCACUCCGCUUCGUUCAGUGAGUUCAACCCCUAGGCAAAACUCUGCAAUCGCUUCCUCUCCUCCUCUCAUUGGCAUGUCAACUGUACGGUGCCUAUCUGGUGCCGCGCUUGCCAAAAGCAAGGUCAAAUUGCCACCUUCUAUCAUUAAUUCAAAUCCCAUGCGAGAUAGUAGUAUCCUUCAAAGGCCAAUGAGGAAAAGACUGCUACUCAAGGACCUGCACUGCCUGGCCUCUUUUCCACUACUCAACCAUCCACGCUUGGCUCACUAGUCUUUAAAUAGUUUGGGGAGAUGGCUCGUGCUUUUGGGACCUGAGUUGGUUAUUGCACCUGAGUUAAUUGUGCCUUGGGGACUGUGCCUUGGGGCUUGAGGCCCAAUACUGUUUGUCAGCCCGAGUCAGACUCUACCUUAUAUGAUGAGUUGGACUCGAUCAUAGGCAACUCUCGAACUCUUCGUCUUCCUACUAUUCGCACCGGUGCAUGGCAACUGUGGUGAGCGAAGAAAGCCCUCCUCCUCCUCCUCCCCUCCUAGCAAUCCACCAGCUCAACUCUGUUGCUCCGAUGGUGUUUCAGCGUGUUGAUCUAGAGCCCUUCAUUCUAGAACACUUGCAGUACGAAGACAUCCCCAACAGAGAGUUUAUGGAGUAUGCAGUGGCCCCAGCCCAAAACCCUUUGUUGUUCCUUGCCAUUUUAAUUAAAUAAUUGUUUUGCUCAUAAUUGACUUGUUAAAUAAUAAAUAAAACUAGUUUAUUUAGUUAACCAAUUAGUAAAUGCAUGUGGUUAAGUCAUGUAAUGACCUUUGCUUACUCCCAUUGUUGAACUUGUGUAAUGGUUAGUUAAACAUCAUGUCUUACUUGACUAGUAUAAGAUAAUGAGUGUUGUUCUCAUAAUAUCCACCUAAUCAUCUUGUAUAUAUAAUUAUUAAAGAUGCUUUAAUUAUUAGUUUCUUAGUAUGAUCAUGAGUUAAGAUGCAUGUUAAUCUUGUAGGUCUAUGAUUAGUACUAACUUGUGGUUAAUAAUUAGAAUACUUUGUGAAGUGUGACUUUAGUUAUACUGCUAAGGAAAGUUGUACUCAACUGUCUUAGCUUGUUUACUUUAUGUAAUGUACUUGUACGUCUUCCAUCAUGCAUCAUGGCAUACAUUCCAUCAUGUUAAAUAAGCAUCAUUUAUUUAUGUGUAGUACAUACGAGAGUGAGAAGAUUCAUGUUGAUCAAGUUUUGGAGAAGGUUCAUCCACCAAUGGUGUUGGUACCAAAUGCCACCUGGACAUGUCAUCUUGGCAAUUAGUGCAAUUAUUUUGGUCUUGAAAUGUGAUCUGGACAUGUUAUAUUGGCAUAUAUACAUGUAUAGUGUCAUUAUUUUGGUCUUGAGAUAUGAUCUGGACUUGUCAUAUUGGCAUAUAGUGUCGUUAUUUUGGUCUAAUGUGAUUUGCGCAUGUAAACCAUUCUAGAUGUGAUCAGGGCAUGUGAACCAUUCUAUGUAUAUAUAUGAUGCUUAAAUAUGACUCUGACCUCUAAUCUAUUGCUUCCUACAGGAUGCAUGCUUGCAAAAUGUGCUCCAAAUCAUUACAAAAUAGAUUAUGUCAUUUUGUCGUUUCAAAAUGUAUCUUCCCAUUAAUCAUGUCCAUAUAUAUAAAAGACUACUGGAUUGUAGUGUCAUUCAUACCAAGGGAAAAUAUGUCUUACACUCAUACACACACCGUUAGUCUCAGUUAACAGAAUGGGGUACAGACUCAAAAAAAUGUGGGCAAACGUACAAAGUCCGAAAAAGAGGGACAAAUGAGCAGUUAGAUGUCAAACUGAGGACAGAAAUGCAAUUCGCCCAUAUAAUUAACUUGUAUAUAACCAACUAAAUUUUCAAAUAUCAUAAUAAGCGCAUACGAGUUCAGGUUCAAGAUGCCAUAUGAAGAUAUUGAUCUGAUUUAAUUCUGCGAUCUAAAUUCGAAAAACUGCUACGAACUAGCCCAAUUUCUUAUUCGAAUUUAUUUUCUACCAGGCGAGGCGCGCGUUAGCUGACUGUUCAGUACUGAAGCUUUACCGGGAAACGAGGGUUUAUGAACUGACCAAAGCUGAUGUAUGAACUAGUUCUUCUCAUGUCGACCUAGACCAUCCAUCAUGCCUUCGUUUCGUCCCGGUCCUAGCUGUCGAACUCCGCGUCACGGACCUCGAGAAGGUAUUCUGGGAGGAGGACGUGCAAUAUACAUUAGCAACACCAACCAAUCUAAAUCAUGAGGAUGUUUUAGCUUGGCAUUUUGACAAUAAAGCUCCACUGCCUGGACAGCUCGAGAUCAAUUCAGAUGGAUCAUUUAUCUAGGAGACGUUGCAAGGGAGCUGGGGGCUUCAUUAUCCGUGACCAUGAGGGCGACGGGGUACUUGCAGGAGCUGGUCGCCCUGGAUCAAUCCCAGAUGCGUGGACAGCAGAGGCAGCAGUAUGUGCUCAGGCAUUGCAAGCAGCUACAGAUUAUGGUAUAUCGCACGUAUAAGUAGAGGUGGACUCAGCAACGAGAUGACUGACGGAUCGUACGCCAACGAGAGUGGAGCGUCAGCAUCUUCACACAAGGCGAACUGGCGAAGGUAAACCAAUGGAGGUCACCAAUGGCGGCUGCGUUCUUGGCCCUUUUUUUCUUUAUGGAAAAAAUUAGCCCCAGCUAUAUAUAUGUUGAAUGGUCUCUUGGGCUGUAGCUCCGGACGCCACGCACACGUCUAGCCCAUCUGAACAAAUUCUUGUAGCUCUCGAUCGGCCCAAAUAUAACUAUCUUCCACAAAUGAUGCGUAAAGAUGAUCCCAUCUCGAUACAUGCCUUCAAAGCAAACAAGCAACCGUAAAAUGCGAAGAAUUGCUUUGACCAUCCGCAAGAGAUCCAUGUUCCGUCCUAGUGUACAAUGCAAAAAAAGAAAAAAAAUGUUAGUAUUAGUAUAUGCUCGUUGAACAGAACCUGCAACAAAGCGGCUUUUUUUUUUAGAGUUCAAGGCCAUAUAAGCCCCGGCCUUUCGAUUAGAAUAAAAAAACCUAGAGUCAUUACAGCACUGAGUUUAAACCGUAGUGAUCAUCCACCAGGACUAGAUCACUGAAAACAAGAACAAACUACAAAUCCAACAAAAAAAAUAACUAAAACAAAACAGCUGGUGUAACAGCAGCCGAUCUUCAGGCAAGGUUGAGAGAUAUGUUCAGCGAGCUCCACCAAGGAAGUUUUAGAUUGCCCAUCAGGUCUUCAUGUUCCUGAUCACCCUAGGUCACUCCUCUAUGAAACUUGUGAUGUUUAGUCACCCAUAAGGAAGCUACAUAGUAUUGCUCACCUUUGCUUUGAUCUCUCUUGUCGGGGGGCAGAGAAUUCGCCAAUUUAGUAGGAGCAUUUACAUGCUUCUCCAACUAAUUUUCUUAAAACAAAGAUAAUUUCUAAGUUUCCAGAUACACCAGAUCACAGCAUAGAUGAUUGUAUUGACAAGGCAGUGUUUUUUAUUACUUAGACAGAACUUCCCUAUUUCCAUGAUAUUAUCUCCUACUUUACAACCAAGAAUGUUUACAUAAGAUCCCAACACCACCUUGCCACUACACAAUCAAAGAAAACAUGUUGUAUUGUUUCCUUUUCCAGACAAAAAAGACAAUUCUCAUCUUCUACUUUUCUUCUCUUAGCUAGGUUAUCCCUAGUCAAAGCUCUUAAUAACCAACCAAAGGAAAAAAAAAGGACUCUAGGAGGGAUUUUGGCACCAAAUAGCCGACUACUGGAACAAACCCUCUAAAAUUGAUUAUCUUAUAUAUUACCAAACCAUCUCAUCAGCCUCAUUAGAAAACUGCAUUGUAGCUACUAAUGAUGAUAUCGAGCCAAAGAUUAAUAGAGAUCAAGAGAAAACGCUCUUUCUAAAAGUACAUUUCAGAUUAACCCAUACCAAAGGUUAACUAGAGUUUUCCCUUUCUCAUUAACUAUCCUAUAUAGCGGUCAAAAUUGGAUAGCUAAGCUAGACGAACCUAGCCAAUUGUCCUCCUAGAACCUAAUAUUCCAGCCAUUCCCUACUUUCCACUUGUAACCCAUCUCGGCAACUUGAGUUGCAUACAUAAAUCCUUUAAAAAACUAGAAGCCCCACAGCUCUAGUUGAGAAGAUGUUAGGAUUUUCAAUCCCAUACUUAUGGUCUAUCAGCUCUUUCUAGAGCUUAUCUCUAUUUACCUGAUACCUCUUCAACCACUAUGCCAGAAAUGCUAAUUAGUGGCGCGUCCAGAGGAUCAUUAGUGACGCUGAAAAAACACGUCACUUUUGUUACGUCUCUGAUGUGAAGACAUUAGUGACGUGUAAAAACAUGUCACUGAUGUGAACAAACAACGACACGUAUUGAGAAAACAUGUCACUGAUGUGAAAUAGCUGUGAUGUGACGCGUAUUUAAAAACGCAUCACUGGUAUGAAAUAGUUGUGACGCAUAUUGAGAAAAAAUGUCACUGAUGCGAAAUAGUUGCGACGUGUACUGAGAAAACUGGUCACUGAUGACCCUACAUUAAUGACGCGUAUAGCUAAAACGCGUCUCUGAUAAAGAUUUGCAAAAACAAAAAAAAGAUACCUAGAUCAGUGUACAGUUCUGAAACCUAUGUUUCACAAUAUGGUAUAUUUCAUAGCAGUACAUAGAUUUCACACUUCACAAUAAGUUCUCACGAUCAGAAUACAUAGGGAGGCGACCACGAGCGCGAUGAGCAUCGUGGAUGGGGAAGGAGGUGGCCACGGGCGGAGCAUAGUCAGGAGAGAGAUGGUUCUGGAUGGAGGAUCGGGAGGAGACAGCGCUAGUCAGAUCUAGACGAGGGAGACAGAGUCGGCUACAUCUAGGAUGAGGAGCGGCGGCGGAGGAGAUGAGAUCAAGAGAGAGAGAGAGAGAGAGGAAGUGAGAGAGACCCGGGACUGGGAGAGGAGAGAGGUUCGGGGCCCUGGGUGGGUGUGGACGUGAGUUUAUUCAGGCCCUAGAGAAGACGAGAUCACGAGAUCACGAGAGAGAGAGAGAGAGAGAGAGAGAGAGGAAGAUCACCUCAAGAUCAAAAAAAUUUCAAGAUUUCUCGUUACAUUGAAUCUUGCAGUAUAUGUAUGGAAUAUUAAUAUAGAUAAAAAAUAACUAAUUGCACAGUUUGUGUGUAAUUUGCGAGACUAAUCUUUUGAACCUAGUUAGUCCAUGGUUGAACAAUAAUUGCCAAAUAAAACAAAAGUGCUACAAUACCCAAAAAAAUUUCACCUCCUCAACUAAACAAGGCCUCACCUAAUUUUAUAAUUUUUUUAGGUCCAAGGUCCUAUAUCAGUGCGGGGGUUUUGGUUGUUUUCAUUUUUCAUGUCCGGAGGACGUGCGCAGGCAACGAUUCCCUAGCCAAACAACUAAUCGUCUUGUUAAUUUUCUGGCCAGGUAAUCAGUGCACGGCUCAAUAUGAAGAGUCAUACCACAAUAUGAUUAACGCGCGUGGACAUUACGUGUCACUUUUAAUACUAGUGACGUGUUUUGUUGGGACGAGUCACUAAUAUCUCUCAUUAUUAGUGACGCGUCUACGUAAAACUCGUCACUUUUGCUACCAGUGACACGUUUUGUUGGGAAGAGUCACUAAUACAACCACAUAUUUGUGACGCGCUUAGUUAAAACGCGUCACUUCUGACGCGUUUUCUUGAGAAAAGUCACGGAUACCUUCUCGUUAGUGACGCGUCUUGUUCCUAGGACAUGGGCAAAAACUUAGCAGCGACGCGCUUCGUUCAGCUGCGUCACUAAUAUACUUAUUAGUGACGUGUUUUAGUCCUGAGUCACUAUUGAGGUGUCUCCUUUGUGCUUAGUGAACCAAGAAGCUAACAAACUAAUGUUAAGAUCUCUAAGGUUAGGUAGGCCCAAACCCCCCUCUCUUUACUCAUAGACACUAGCUCCCAAUUAGCUAGGUGAUACUUAUGAUUAUCCACAGAAUCAUUCCAGAGGUAGUUUCUCAUAUGAGUAUCAAUGAACUUGAUUGCCCAUUUGGGGAAUUUGAUAAAGGAUAGAAGGUAGACAGGAAUACUUGCUAAGCAUGACUUGAUUAACAUAGCUCUAGCAGCUAAGGAAAUAAGUCUCCCCAUCCACCCUGCUAUCUUCUUUAGAAUCUUGUCUACCAAAGGUUGGACAUCUUCUCUACUCAGAUUGUCAUAAUGUAGGGGUAAACCUAGAUACUUAAUCGUGAAGGAUCCUAGAGGGCAAGAGAAAAAAUGUGCUAGUCUAUGAGCUUCACUGUCCUCCAAAUUUAAAGGCACUAGCUCACUUUUAUGAAAGUUGAUUCUCAUACCAGAAAUCUGUUCAUAGCAUAUUAAAACACACUUCAAAUUUCUUAAGGCUGAAUCCCCGGUCUUAUAAAACACAAUAGUGUCAUCAAAACUACUACACCACCGGGUCUGAAAUCCUCUAAGAGACCUCUCACAAGAUUUUUUACCUAUUUCCUUACUUAACAUCUUUGACAACCCAUCUCCAACUAGAUUAAAUAAGAAAGGAGAUAGGGGAUCUCCUCGUCUAAGACCUUUGCCAGUCUUGAAAUAAGAAUUGUCUUCCGCAAUUAUCAUGAUCCCAAUAGAACCCCUACAACAAUCUGCCUAAUCCAGUUAGGGGAUGCUUAGUUCCCCAUAAAAUGCAAAAUGCAAAAUCCUGAAACUUGAAUGGUGGAAUACAAAAUGCCAAAAUUUUUCAGGGGGUGUUUAGUUCCAUCCAUACCAAAAUGCCAAAAAGUAAAAAGCUUGUUUUGUCCUCAUUAAUUGGCACCCAUGCAUUGCAUGCAAACAUGCUGCACGCGCUGCAUGCUGGCAGAAGCUUUGCAGCAAACAAUACAAGCGUUGUCUGCUGCUUGCUCGCGAUUGUGCAACCGGAAGUGAACAAGCACGGGCGGGUGCAGGUGGGGUAGCGAAGGAGCUGCUUUCUGGCCUUUUUUGGGCUGCUGAGGCCAAAAUCCAGAAUGCAAAAUGGUUGCCAUUUUGCCAAAUUUUUUGAGUGGUGUUUAGUUCUAUUAUGGAAAAUAGUGGGCCAAAAUCCAGAAAUUUUUGGCCCAAAUGGGGAACUAAACACCCCCUUAAUCAAUUUAGCAUCAAAGUUCCUAGACUAACAUCUCAAACAAAAAAAAAGUCCAGCUCACCCUAUCAUAUGCCUUUUCAUAAUCUAAUUUGAGAACAACUCCUUUCUCUCGAGAUUUAUUGACACUAUGAACAAUUUCAUGUGCUACAACUACGCUUUCAAGAAUAUAUCUACCUUUAAUGAAGGCAGAUUGAGUCGUAGCCACCAUUCUUUGAACUAAACUGGUCAGCCUAAGGGUGAGAAUUUUUGAGAAAAAUUGAAAGCAGCCUCACUUUAACCUUCCAUGGUAACACAUGGACGACAGAACCAAGCUUAACCGGUAGAAGAGGGUUUCUUUACCAAGGAAGCAACUCAAAAGUCUGAACCGAAUCGAUUUUCACAAUUUCACUGCAAGAACUUCAGUUAAACGUCUCGACUUUACAUAACCCAGCAAGUGGGCCAUCAUCUCAGGGCACCUGGAUGAAUAGAUGGAUGGAUCCAUGGAUAUAUAUAUAUGUCUGCCGCACUUUAUACAUAUAUAUAAAGUUGGUCACUUCCUAGCAGCUACCUAGUUUCCAAAAUCAUCUCAGCAGCCACCAGCAACUUAAGGAUAGUCAUCUACCUUCUACUACUUAUAUAUACACAGCGCGCUUUCGUCAUCAUACUGUAUGCUAUGGAUCUCCAUCCGCGGGUUUCUCCUCCAGCAGCUUGGUGCUGCAGGAAUGCCCUUUGCUGCGGUUCAGUAUCGAUUCUCUAAUCUCUUUGUACUUGUUCAGCUCCUCCAGCGCAUCCGCCGCUGUCCUUGACCUCAGAAGAACGGAAGGCACCCCUGUAGAGCUUGAUGCACUGCUGCCAUGUUCCUCGGUCACUACCCUCUGGAGUGAAGGUUCUUGAGGAACCGGGGCACUAGGGCCUGGCAGUAGUAGCCUUUCCCUGAGGCCAGGGGCAUUCUGUAGGAUGCGCAUAAGAAUACCAAUUGCUGCAUCUGGAGACCUCGUUAAUGAGCCUCCUUCCUGAGAUGGUCCUUGGUCAUCCCUGUCAGAUAUGUCGAUCCUGGAAAAUAGAUGAAGCUCUACAUUAGCUUAUGUCAAAUCAAGAAGUGCAUGCAAAUUAACAAGCACCAAAAAAGUAAAAUGUCAAGAAGAGGUUGCAAAACUGAGGUUGCAAAACUAUUAGAAAUGUUUUGACUGAUCCCACUGUGACCUCACCCAAGAAUAUAAUGGCAAGUGCCUUCAAAAAAAAGAAUAUAAUGGCAAGUCCUGCACAGUCACUAUAUCUAUCCUUGUUAAGGGAUAAACCUGUUAGUGACAAGACUGACCACUAAGCCCCUUAUAUUUAUCUUUAUUAGAUUAACAUGAGACUCCAAUUAUGUCCAUAACUUUAGACCUCAGUAUGACAGGAUUAACCUGUGAUAAUAGAAUACGCUGUACAUUCUACAACCCUCUUGCUUAACUAAACAUCUUAAUUGCUGCUACUAGUAGUUAAUGUAUAGUAAUAUAAGAAACAAUAAGGGAUGUUUAUCUUGCACAAAAGAAACGCUAACUUUAGAUAAAUUAGCCCACUGCCUGCAAUUUGACCCACAAAUUUACAUUCAUAGUCACAGACCAAAAAUUAUAAGGAAUAUUAGGAAAGCUGCAAAGUGGCCACCAUGUGGCUGUGGUAGAAAUGAUAUCUAGCCCCUGUAUUGUGUAGUUCGAAAAAAAAAGGAUACUAAGAUUUUCAACUGUCAUUUCUAAUUUGUAAAUAACAAAGAGGCAGUAAGACUUCAGUCUGGAGCAUGCAAAUGACAUGGGUACUACAAGUCUAAAACUUCAGUCUGUAGUUUUUAAAUGACACAGGGGCACUAAGGCUUGAGUUUGUAGUUUGUAAAUGACACAAGGGUACUACUAAUAACUCUUCUGUGUAGUUUGUACUUUGUAUAAAUACCAUAGGACUACACAAGCAGUACAAGACUUUUUAGCCAAUAGGUUUAUCCACAAAUUCCCGUAUUACUUUAUCUACAAAACAUUGUUAUAGAAGGUGGCCAACACCCAGCUAACCUGCUUAGCACCCGCAAGCACAAUACCGUACUUUCCUCGUAGCCAACGUAGGUGCCCACUUUGCAGCAACUAGGCGUGCCCUAUCACCUACCACUGGUACUGAACUAUUGAACAUUUUCAUUUUUGUGGAUGUAAGUAACGGCAUGCAUGAUAUUUCUACUAAGAGAGCAUGUCUAGAUGUUGGAUGGUAAAUCCUAGUGACUAGUGAACAUCACUAAUUUCUUCCUAAAACUGCCUUGUUCCCCACUGGUACAACUGAUGCAUAGGCAAUACCAAAUUUAAGCAAAGAAAAGCCAGAUUCAAACCAAGGCUGAAACAGAGAUCAGCAGUAUAUAACCAGACUUGUUUUACUGGGAGUCUGGGACUGGGUUCUCCAUUUCCAGGGCUUGCUCUAUACCUGAACCUCAUAAUGCCUAACCCAUAUACACUUUUGUGUUCAGAACCAAGCUAACGACACCCAAAAGUACAUUGGUUUUUCCCAAAAGCUAUACAAGCUACCAACAAAUGUUUUUGUCUAUCCUCUGCCCUCCUGGAUGUCUAAGGGGUUCAGCUCCUCCCAUGUCCCAUGUAAUGUUUCUCACACGACACCCAAGCCUCUCCAGUCUCCAUGUUUUAGAAAUGUUUCUCAAUACAUUAAAAGAAUAUAUGGCAUAUUUCAUGCCUCUAUGUUUGCAAGGUCACACUUAAUCUAAAUGAUGAAAAGUAUUGCCGGAAAAAUUUAAUGCAACACAUAGUAAGCCCCAUCAGUCAACACAACAGAGACAACUGAGCAAGCACAAAAACUAAGGAACCACAGAAAGUAAUAGAAUAAAGGGAGAAAAGGUGAUAUCAUUACAUCUCCAGUAGGUGCUUCAUUUGAAGAACUGGACAACAACACUCUUUAUUUAUCUAGUAGAAGAGGAUGGUUUCAUUUGAAAUAAGGGCAAAACCCAAUCAUCAAAUGUCUAGUGAUAUAGAAAUGUCUGAACUAUAAAUGUUGCAGGCAACCAACAAGCUAACUUGAUAAUAGAGAGAAUAAUAGGUUCUCAAAAGUAAAUCACUCCAACAUAAAACCAUGAUUAGAAAAUGAAAUGCUUAUAAACAGAAACAAUAAUUAAAUCUAACCUAAUGUAUUCUUAACUAGUAUGAUGCACAGAACUAUUCUGACUCAUAAUAUAUAUAGAUACACCUAAUAGGCUAAUACAUAUGUUGCUUCCAACACCCAAACGAAUUCUGCAAAUAGACAAUGGUGCCCUUUUAGUGGGAAAAAAUACUUAUAGAAAGGGAAAAUUUGAUAACUGGACCAAAUACAAAAGCAGAUGGAUCUGAAUGAUCACUGAAACUACACUACAGUAUAGGCAAAAAGGUAGAGAAGCCCAAUCAAGCGACCUGAACUAAUUAAGAUGUUUCUUGUCAUCCCAAUGAAUGCCCUGCUUUCAAUUUAUCAUCUCAAGAAACUAAAACACAAAAAAUGCCAUUGCUCUAUAUCUGCUAGAUGAAAAUAAUCCAGUUUCCCCUAUAGAAAUGUAAAAUCCUAUAACAUGUUAUAUAAAUAUGAAGACUUCUGCUAACAUUAUUGCUUCAAAGGCCUUCUGAAAGCAAAGAUGGUUCAUGACAAAAUUACCUAAGCUAUGUACAUCAGUGGCCACCUGGUGAAUACAAUAACCAAUGUCAUAGCAUUCCCAGAGUAAAAGUAGUGUUAUGACCUACUAAACAAAAAUAUAUGACCUACUAACCAAAAAUAUAAGUUUUCAAACUUUAUCAGACACCUAGGUCAUUUAUUUACACAGAAAAAGCACAUGCAUUCAUGAGGAUAUGAAUGUAAGGGGAUCAAACAUAAACCAAAUGCAAUACAACAGCAGAACAGCAAUUGAAGUGAUGGGUAGCUACUAGGUUAGUCCUUUUGACCAAGGCAUCAUGGCAUAAUGUCAUGAACUACACAUAUUUUCAUCAAGUGAGACAGAAAAGAGAACCUUCUAAGCUGAUCAAUGAUGGUGUCUUUAUCUUCCCAUGCAAAAACUAACUCCCGUUCAUCCAGUUCAUCCAUGAUGAAAAGUUUACUGGAGGUACGAGUCAACUUUAGCCCACGAAAAUACACCAAAUCAUCAUUGCCAAAAGAUAAAACCUGCAGCAAGAAGCAGAACCAGAAAUUCAUAAGUCAGAAAUGAGAUCCAACCAUCCAAGAGAAGAACCUCAUAGUAAAAGAAAGAAUAGUAUUCCUCAAGGUUCACAUUUUGCUGGAGAAGAUCAACAAACAAACAUGUAAUUACCUUUUGCAAAGACUUCUCAUUCUGAAACUCACUAAGCUUGACCAAAUCCUUUGAUACUAUUGAUUUAUCAUUUGGAGAAUGUGUCAGAUUCUCAUUUUGAGAUGAGCAUUGUUGCUUAUCCUUCCUACGUGGAGAAGGAGGCAGCCUGCUACCACCUCCACCAGCCAUCGCUGUGGGAAUACUUAAAGGAGCACUCUCAUAUCGGAAGAAAGGAUUUCUUGGGUAGCUAGAAGGCGAAUGGGAUGGUGAUGGCGACAGAGGUGGUGAUGGAUAGCACUCUUCAUUUACUGUAUUUCUCUUCUUCCCAGACGAUGAUGUGUUAUGUGGAUGUGAGUAUGCUGUCGGAGAAUUAUCGGUCGGCAUACGUGGCUCUAGGCGUCCAUGGGGUUCUGAACUCAUCGGAAAUGGCGAUACCGAUGUUCUAACUCCAUGCCCGGUGCUCCAACUGUGCCGCCUGGUCACUGGAAAACAUGCAGGUGCAAUGCCAUCUGAAGGCAGGGAAUCGAGCUUCCUAAGAAAAUCUGUUGUGGGGCUUCCAACAUAAUCCUUUAUAAGCUCAGGUGGCACCGGUGUGGGUUGCUCUGGUACUGCAGCCAACUCCAGCACUGGCACAUACGAAACAGACAAGCUUAAGGAACCAAACAGAGUUUCAAUCGGAGCAAAUGCAUAGUGUUUCAUCUCUGCAUCCUCAGCGCGGGUGAAUGGCUCAACAAAUGAUGAAAUCUUGUGCGAGAGGCUCAGCGGACAGAUCCUUCCAGACGAAUUGAGCCCCUGGAAGAGAUGGUAUGCUGGCAAGAGCCUGACAACCAGGUACAAUGACCGGAACAACACUGUGGAGCCGCUGUAUGCCCUCCUGUACAAGCUAUGAUCCUGAGAAGAGCUGCUUCUAGCUUUCUUGCCACUGUUCUUGAUAGCAUUGCCAGACCUGCUAGUUUCAUACUUUAUUACCCACCUCUCAAUGAUCCUGCUGGCCCCGACACUGGCGGUUCUGGUAUUGUCACGUUGCACAAGGACAAUGUCAAUGACCAGAAGCUCGAGGUUGCUCUGCCUCCACAGGUCGAAAUUCUCGAGCGCAGCAGGGCAGUCCCGGAGAGCAAGGUUGAACCACCGGUCCCGCGGCUGGCUUCCAGCCAGCGGCGACGAUGGCGGGGAGGGCCGAGUGAAGUUCCGCGACGAAUCAUAGGGCGAGCGUGACUCCAGGAUGAUGUGCAGGCUCUUGGCGAAGAAUUCGGUGAUCACUUGCUCCACCAUCGGCGGUUCCGACACGCCGCCAGCAGCGGCGGCGGCGGCGGCAGCCAUGGCUGUGUGGCUGUCCAGACUUAAAACUCAAGGGCUCAAUUGAAGUCCCAAAACUCCUGAAAAACGAACUGCGCCAGCACCAUGGCUAAAUCGAUCUUGCUCCUCAACCGUAAAGAACAACCUAAUCGGGCUGCUGCAAGUGGAUGGAUGGACUGAAUCAGUAGCAGGGGCGGACCCAGUAAAGGACAUGGGUGUACACAUGUACACCCAAUAAUUUUUGCAAAGCAAUCGAAGUUAGUAGGCAUAUACACCUGUAAUUAGAUUCAGAUCGGA